rnacentral:sRNA from 2 species
GCAAUGGCCGACUAGGGUUCCGGCGCGCCGACAGCGGCGCGCGACUGGUCCGAGAGUUGGCGACCUCCUUCGAGGUUACACGGCGGGACAAAAGCCCGGGAGAA